GUGGGCUGCAUUAUUGCGGCUUAAGGUACGUGCUAAACCCUUGGGAAACCAAGCUCGUAGGAUUAGACCCGAUAUGUCGAAGUCUGCGAGGGCCGAGAGGCUGGAUCCGGAGCCCGAUUGGUGCUCCGGAAGUGCUGUGAUGCCCUUAGAUGUUCUGGGCUGCACG
rnacentral:rRNA from 1 species